rnacentral:sRNA from 1 species
GAACGGGGGCAACCCCUAGUAAAGUGGCGUACGGGUGAGUAACACGUAGAUAAUCUACCUCAGAGUCUGGAAUAACCUGCCGAAAGGCGGGCUAAUACUGGAUAGAGCGACGGAAUCCGUAAUUGGGUUUUUCGGGAAAGGGAGGGAGCAAUCCCCUUCGCUCUGAGAUGAGUCUGCGUCCCAUCAGGUAGUUGGUGAGGUAAUGGCUCACCAAGGCUUCGACGGGUAGCUGGUCUGAGAGGAUGAUCAGCCACACUGGAACUGAAACACGGUCCAGACUCCUACGGGAGGCAGCAGUGGGAUCUUGG